rnacentral:lncRNA from 1 species
GCCGCGGAGCGCGGGCGCCCUCGUGAGGCUGGGCUGCGUCGCCAGCGGCAGCGUGAAGCGGGCAGCCCGGUCUGCGCCGGGGCCUGGGCCUGGAGUCCGGUGUGGUCGGGCGUUCGACUCGCGCGACUCCCCGCCCGAGGGCCCACCGGGCUCCGGCUGGAAGCCGCCCAGGGUGCGGCAGCGAAACUUUGGCCCGGUUGCAACCACAGUGGCGUUUAGGCCGGACGCUCUUGCUCCCGUUUCACGGAGCGGUCGAAAUCCGUAGACGUUUCUAAUGCGUUCUACCGGUAGCCCAGCCCUCUUCGUCCUCAGCCUCUAUUCGUGCUCACUUUUCUCCCAGAACUUCCCACUUCAAGAAGACUUUUUGGGAAGAGGAAAAGUAGCAUCUGUGAUUUCGAGACACCUCUGCCAGCAUCUGGCUUCCUGGCUAUGCCCACCGAUGAAGGUGACAAUCACGAUGCAGAAAUGGACAGUUGGGAGCGUUGGAUGGAAUACUUACAAUAGUGAACAAAGAACAGCGGAGAAGACAUUUUACCCAAACAUCUUACUUGCUGUUGGAAGUCUGGCUUGACCCAAUGUGAGGCCCUCUUCUCCAUUCCAGAUCCAGGACACCAUUCCCUGAAGGAGCCAUCAGGGGCCUGUGGGAUAGAGGCCAUUGCCGGGGAUGCCCUGAUAGAGGUCCUUCAACAAAUAACAAGUAAGAGGCUGCAGUUUCUGCAACGAGAGAUGAUGGGGCUGAAAUGUCAGCAGGACAGACCAGGAUGGAAGAUCAAUCACGGAGCGACCCUAUUUCCAUCUCUAUUCUGGGACCAUGUGGAAUCAGAGAUAAAUUAGACCACAUCUUUGUCCUAGGAGUUCACAGUCAAGCUGAGGCAGACAGACUGACAAAUUGAUAAAUGCUUCAACAUUGUGAUGUGGUGACAUACAGGGUCAGUAGGUGCCUGAACUUCACCAUGGAGCUGUGAGUGCUCUUGACUCAGGACUUGAAGAAGCUUAAGGAGGAAAUCCAGCAGAGGCUAGAUACUUCGUACCAGCAGGCCCUGGUUCUGCUCUACCCCAGCAAGAAUCACUGCAUCCUCUCAGGGCUUCAAACCUAAGACAUGAUCUUGAUUUCAGCUUUCACUAGGGUUCUGCCCUGAAACCAUCACAAACCUGGGAACCUAUGGCUCCGGCGGUACAUUUCCAUUUAUCCACUGCCCUUUGGGUUUGAAUGUCAGACAGAGGGUUUAGAAGAUGUCAACUCAAAACACAGCCAUAAACUUGGUCUGACAAUCAACUAAAGGAUGAAUCCAGGAAUCCAGGAGGAUGGUUUGUUUAUUUAUUUAUUUAUUUUUGGCCCUCUUUAUGGCCCAUGGAUUUGGAGAGAAGAACACAUCCCAUGGGUUCAGGGGUGCUUCUGGGGGAUUCUUUUAUAGAAAAAAGGUGGAUGGGACCAUUACCCUUCUUUUGUUGUGUGUCCCUCAUUCUGGGUAUCCCUGAAUGGAUCCCCUGGCGGAUGUUCCUGUCUACCUGGAAACUCAGAAUGUGGCCCUUUUUUGAAAGAGGGUCUCUGCAGGUGUCAUUAGGAUAAGAAUCCAGAUGAAUUCAUCCAGAUUCAGGUAGGUUGUAAAUCUGAGAGGGCUCUUAGAAGGGACAGAGAAGGACACACAGAGACAGAGAGAGAGAAGCUGGCCAUGUGAAGGCUGAGGCAGAGAUUGAGAUGACAAAGCCAGAAGCUGGCAUAUGCUAGAAGAUGCAAAGAAGCUUUCUCCUCCAAGGCCCCCAGAGGCAGCAUGGCCCUGCUUGACAUCGUGGCUUGGAUUUCUGACUUCUACAACUGUGAGGGGAAAAACGUCUGUUAUUGCAGGCCUCCAAAUUUGUGGUACUUUAUUAUGGCAGCCUGAGGAAACGAAUACAUACUGGAAAACUCACUUUAUAUCAGGAACUGAAAAUGCAAACCUCUCAGGUAACAAAAAUGAAUGACCGAGGAGAAGACUGAGGCAAACUGGAGAAGCUAUGCUUUAUGUAAAGAUAACCAGGUGUUGCCUGGCAAGGACACAGAAACACAUUUGCCGGAUCUUUCAGAGUUCAAGAGAAGCUGGAAAUCCUGGAAUUCUUGUCGCGGUGCAGUGGUUAACGAAUUCGACUAGGAACCAUGAGGUUGUGGGUUUGAUCCCGGGCCUUGCUCAGUGGGUUAAGGAUCUGGCCUUGUCGUGAGCUGUGGUGUGGGUCGCAGAUGCAG